rnacentral:piRNA from 1 species
UGGGUUACAAUUUUUCAAUUA